rnacentral:rRNA from 1 species
UGCCUAAAGAUUUUCUUUUAGGUUUAUCCUGCCCAGUGAUAUUUUUAACGGCCGCAGUACUCUGACUGUGCUAAGGUAGCAUAAUCAAUUGACUUUUAAUUGAAGUCUAGAAUGAAAGGGGGUAAGGGGAAAUUUUGUCUUUUUAAUUUUAAUUAUAAUUUAUUUAAAUGGUGAAAAUCCCUUUAACUAGAAAAAGGACGAGAAGACCCUAAGAAUUUGAAAAAUUUAAUGUUUAAUACAUUUUUUUUUUUGUUGGGGUGACAAAUUUACACUUAAACUAAUUUUUUUUUAAAAAAGCCGAUUAAUAAGAAAUAAUAAAUUACCUUAGGGAUAACAGCAUUAUUUUUUUUUAAGAUUAUGACCUCGAUGUUGGACUAAGGACUUACUAGUUAGAAACUAUUAUAGCAUGUUCUGUUCAAACAUUUUUCCU